rnacentral:rRNA from 1 species
AGAACGAACGCUGGCGGCAUGCCUAAUACAUGCAAGUCGAACGAAGGCUUCGGCCUUAGUGGCGCACGGGUGCGUAACGCGUGGGAAUCUGCCCCUUGGUUCGGAAUAACAGUUGGAAACGACUGCUAAUACCGGAUGAUGACGAAAGUCCAAAGAUUUAUCGCCAAGGGAUGAGCCCGCGUAGGAUUAGCUAGUUGGUGAGGUAAAGGCUCACCAAGGCGACGAUCCUUAGCUGGUCUGAGAGGAUGAUCAGCCACACUGGGACUGAGACACGGCCCAGACUCCUACGGGAGCAGCAGUAGGGAAUAUUGGACAAUGGGCGAAAGCCUGAUCCAGCAAUGCCGCGUGAGUGAUGAAGGCCUUAGGGUU